rnacentral:rRNA from 1 species
GUUAGUGGCGCACGGGUGCGUAACGCGUGGGAAUCUGCCCCUUGCUUCGGAAUAACAGUUAGAAAUGACUGCUAAUACCGGAUGAUGACUUCGGUCCAAAGAUUUAUCGGCAAGGGAUGAGCCCGCGUAGGAUUAGGUAGUUGGUGGGGUAAUGGCCCACCAAGCCGACGAUCCAUAGCUGGUUUGAGAGGAUGAUCAGCCACACUGGGACUGAGACACGGCCCAGACUCCUACGGGAGGCAGCAGUGGGGAAUCUUAGACAAUGGGGGCAACCCUGAUCUAGCCAUGCCGCGUGAGUGAUGAAGGCCUUAGGGUUGUAAAGCUCUUUCAGCUGGGAAGAUAAUGACGGUACCAGCAGAAGAAGCCCCGGCUAACUCCGUGCCAGCAGCCGCGGUAAUACGGAGGGGGCUAGCGUUGUUCGGAAUUACUGGGCGUAAAGCGCACGUAGGCGG